GCCAGGCACGGUGGCUCGCGCCUGUAAUCCCAGCAUUUGGGAGGCUGAGGCGGGCAGAUCACUUGAGGUCAGGAGUUCUAGACCAGCCUGACCAACAUGGUGAGACCCUGUCUCUA
rfam:Homo sapiens chromosome 17, GRCh38 reference primary assembly.